CAGCCCUAAACGAUGCGCGUUAGGUGUAUCGGUGACCACGAGUCACCGAGGUGCCGAAGGGAAACCGUGAAACGUGCCGCCUGGGAAGUACGGUCGCAAGGCUGAAACUUAAAGGAAUUGGCGGGGGGAGGCACCACAACGGGUGGGAGCCUGCGGUUUAAUUGGACUCAACGCCGGGAAGCUCACCGGAUAAGACAGCGGAAUGAUAGUCGGGAUGAAGACUCUACUUGACUAGCUGAGAGGAGGUGCAUGGCGUAGUCGUGU
rnacentral:rRNA from 1 species